rnacentral:rRNA from 1 species
GGACGAACGCUGGCGGCGUGCUUACCACAUGCAAGUCGAACGGUGAAGCGCCUUCCUUUUUGGUGGGUGUGGAUGAGUGGCGAACGGGUGAGUAACACGUGAGUAACCUGCCCCCUUCUUCUGGAUAACCGCAUGAAAGUGUGGCUAAUACGGGAUAUUCUGGGUCUGUCGCAUGAUGGGUCUGGGAAAGAUAUUGUUUCGGUGGGGGAUGGGCUCGCGGCCUAUCAGCUUGUUGGUGGGGUGAUGGCCUACCAAGGCGGUGACGGGUAGCCGGCCUGAGAGGGUGGACGGUCACACUGGGACUGAGACACGGCCCAGACUCCUACGGGAGGCAGCAGUGGGGAAUAUUGCACAAUGGGCGCAAGCCUGAUGCAGCGACGCCGCGUGAGGGAUGGAGGCCUUCGGGUUGUGAACCUCUUUCGCCAGUGAAGCAGGCCUGCCUCGUUUGUGGGUGGGUUGACGGUAGCUGGAUAAGAAGCGCCGGCUAACUACGUG